AUACGGUUUCAUAAGUUUGACCAAACAGCAAUUUAAAAUUCCUUUCACGGCAGGUGAUCAUGUAGAGUCCGAAGGGUCUUCGUCCAGAAUGACGAAGACGGUUUGCGUGGUCGGGGCUGGAGUUUCCGGUUUAGCAGCGACGAAGCACUGCUUGGAAGAAGGUCUGGAACCAAUCUGCUUCGAAAAAGACGACGAUGUUGGGGGACUCUGGAACUACCACGAUGUACCCAAGGAUGGUUACCCAAGCCUGUACAACUCGUGUAGCAUCAACACCAGUAAGGAGAUGACGUGCUACAGUGACUUUCCAAUCCCUAAAGAGUUUCCCAACUUCAUGGCGCACAAACAUUUUAAAAGUUAUCUGAAACUUUACGCCGAGAACUUUGGGUUGCUGAAAUACAUAAAGUUCAAACAUGAAGUGGUGCUCAUUGAGAAAGCAGACGACUUUGAGGACAGUGGCGAUUGGGUGGUUACGACCAAAAACUUGACCUCGGGGAAAGUGGAAAAGAGAAAGGUGAACUGUGUUAUGGUUUGCAAUGGACAUCUCCAUGAACCGAACAUUCCCAAUUUCAAAGGACUCGACAAAUUCAAGGGGAGAGUCUUACACACUCACGAUUACAAGGACUUCCAUGGGUACGAGGGGAAAAGAGUUUUGAUUAUUGGUGUAGGAAACUCCGCCUCAGAUGUUGCAUGUGAACUGAGCAGACAUGCUGAGCACGUAAGUCUAUGGAGUUCAAUAACGUUAUCUAAUAUCAUAAUGUAUGCAUGUAGAGGUAUACUCUACGCACUGAAAACAAGAAUUAAAUAAAAUGAAUUUAAACUAAAAAUUGAUAAUAUUAUAUAUUUUCAAACUGAUUACCACAAUUUUUGUAUUGAAUGAACCCCUAAAUCGAUUUAAUGAAAGAAACCAUAAGAAGCAAUGAGUAAUGUUAUCUUUGAAUUACAGGUCUACAUCAGCACACGAACUGGUACCUGGGUGAUACAGCGAGCCGCGGACCAGGGCCGUCCAUUCGACCACGUCGCAAUCACUCGUUUCCGGCAGGGAAUUCCUUGGCCGUAUCUUCGCCCGUUCAUGUACCACGGCGUCAACAACCGGUACAGUCAUUCCAAGUACAGCCUCUCACCCAACACAAGAUUCAACGGAGGGGCAGUUACCAUCAGUGAUGACUUGCCAAACCGGAUCCUUUUAGGUAGAAUAAAUAUGAUAACAGACGUGGAGAGAUUCACAGAAAAUGGCGCUGUAUUUGUUGACGGCACGGAACUUGACAACAUCGACGUGGUGAUUUUGGGUACCGGGUUCAAAUACAGUUUCCCUUUCAUCCAAAAAGAUGCCAUAAAAGUGGAAAACGCAUUUCCUUUUCUUUAUGAUCUGGUAUGGCCGGCUGAUAUGGAACCAGCGACCCUUGCCAUAAUUGGCCUUGUACAACCUUUUGGUGGCCUCCCUCCAAUUCUUGAGAUGCAGUCGAGAUGGGCAGCUCGUGUGUUCUCUGGAAACUGCAAGCUGCCAAGUGCUUCACAAAGAUUACAAGUGGUGGAAAAGACUAAUGCAAAUCUAAAAUCAAAAGGCCUCAAUUCUCCAAAAUACACUCUGGUCGUAUUCUUCAUCCAGUAUAUCGACAAAAUGGCCAAGUACAUUGGAUGCAAGCCCAAUUUGUGGAAAUUCUUUUUCACAGAUAAUGCCCUCUGGAGGAAGCUGUUUUUUGGACCAUGCACUCCGCCGCAGUGGCGCAUUGAAGGGCCUGGAAAAUGGCAAGGAGCCAAAUACGCAAUCGAACACGUGGAAGAAAAAACGUGGUAUCCACUAAAAACACGCGAGGCAGGUAAACACGGAAAAGAAGGCAUAUAUGACGGAUAUAUUUCUCUUCUCAAAAGAUUUCUACUACUUGUUGUAGUCUUCAUUCUCGUAAAAUAUUUGUUCACAAAUGGGUAUACCACUUUUCCCGUGAAGUCUUGAAGGCCCGGAGUUUAUCAUUAUCUUAUUUUCAUUUUCUGUUGUUUGGAGACAUUGACCUCGCAUAUUAUAUUCACCAAUAAAUACAUUGUAUUGAG
rnacentral:misc_RNA from 1 species